AACGAACGCUGGCGGCAGGCCUAACACAUGCAAGUCGAGCGAGGACUUCGGUCCUAGCGGCGGACGGGUGAGUAACGCGUGGGAACGUGCCCUUUGCUUCGGAAUAGCCCUGGGAAACUGGGAGUAAUACCGGAUGAGCCCUUUGGGGGAAAGAUUUAUCGGCGAAGGAUCGGCCCGCGUUGGAUUAGGUAGUUGGUGGGGUAAUGGCCUACCAAGCCGACGAUCCAUAGCUGGUUUGAGAGGAUGAUCAGCCACACUGGGACUGAGACACGGCCCAGACUCCUACGGGAGGCAGCAGUGGGGAAUCGUAGACAAUGGGGGAAACCCUGAUCGAGCCAUGCCGCGUGAGCGAUGAAGGCCUUAGGGUUGUAAAGCUCUUUCAGCUGGGAAGAUAAUGACGGUACCAGCAGAAGAAGCCCCGGCUAACUCCGUG
rnacentral:rRNA from 1 species